rnacentral:rRNA from 1 species
AUUGAACGCUGGCGGCAUGCCUUACACAUGCAAGUCGAACGGCAGCGGGGGAGAAGCUUGCUUUUCCUGCCGGCGAGUGGCGAACGGGUGAGUAAUACAUCGGAACGUGCCCUGUAGUGGGGGAUAACUAGUCGAAAGAUUAGCUAAUACCGCAUACGACCUGAGGGGGAAAGUGGGGGACCGCAAGGCCUCAUGCUAUAGUAGCGGCCGAUGUCUGAUUAGCUAGUUGGUGGGGUAAAGGCCUACCAAGGCGACGAUCAGUAGCUGGUCUGAGAGGACGAUCAGCCACACUGGGACUGAGACACGGCCCAGACUCCUACGGGAGGCAGCAGUGGGGAAUUUUGGACAAUGGGCGAAAGCCUGAUCCAGCAAUGCCGCGUGUGUGAAGAAGGCCUUCGGGUUGUAAAGCACUUUUGUCCGGAAAGAAAUGGCUCUGGUUAAUACCUGGGGUCGAUGACGGUACCGGAAGAAUAAGGACCGGCUAACUACGUGCCAGCAGCCGCCGUAAGAC